rnacentral:lncRNA from 1 species
UAAUGAAGAAUUUUCAGCAAUCUGGACUUCACCACUAUUUGGUUAUCUGAGCAGAUUAACCAUUUGGGAAUUCUUCUAUCCUAACAGUUGCAUCAGAAAAAGUUUCGGUGCCAACUGGGUCUGCGUCAGGUGCAAACCUGGCCAUUGACUUCUUUAAUUAUUUUAUAGGCGUUGAGAAACUUAGAGUGGUUUCAUGGUUUGUAAU